GCAGUCUGUUCUCUCUGUAGUGAAGCUACAGUGAGUCCAAAAUCAAAUCUUCUUUAUAGUCCUUCUGCAAGCUGUUUCAGGAUUUGCUGUUCAAUGUACUGACAAUCCAGACCGUCCUCCCAUGAAAAAACAAAAAAAUCAGAUGUUUCAGUAAAUCCCCCAAAACAUCUGCUUACAUACGAGUAACAGCGCCCUCUAGCAGCCGUAGUAAUUAUGACGGGAACAAAGGAUUCAUUUAUCUUGUUUUCUCGGGAAAACAAAAGGCCGAUCUCUCAAGCUAACGUAAUUUAUCACAAGAUCUCGUUUGUUCGUUCCUGUCUUUUCCUCUCCACGUCUCCCUCAGCUCAACUAUUUAGAUCAAGCACAAGAAGCCUUCAGGUGGCUUUUAAGGACAUGGAUAUCUCCACUCUGCUUUCCUUUCUCUCAUAAUAAAGUGUCUAAUAAAGUGAAGGUAUUGUUCUGUACUUCCUCUACAUGCAUCAUCCCAUCAUAUUCUGAGCAGGAGUUAAUCAACCCGCCGUUUGGAUGCGAAACAGACGUCGUUAAUAAAGGUGCUGAUGAUAAUAAUGGCUUCAGCCUAAAUCACUUGCUACAGCUGUCAGGAUGCCAUCUACGCAUGUUGGCAUGGCGCUCCUCAUCUCUGGUAAACAUUAUAAGUAACGAGAGGAAACGACCUUUUAUUUUCUCGUGUCAAUGGGUUGAUUAUCUCGUUAUCUCCAGCUAACGAAGCUUGUUUUCUGGAGAUGAUGAAAUAAUUCGCUCGUGAUCUUGAGAUAACGGCAUUAAAAGACAAAUGACUGCGAGCGCGGCUGUUCUCGGCUUCCCAUCCGGAGCAAAUGAGCUGCAGCGUCACAAAAUGCUGCAGCCAGCAGUUUAACAUCAAUGACAUGACAACCAACAUCAGAAACUGUCUCCCUACAGACUCCUCUCCAAGCUGCCAAGCUCACCUAAUGAUGAUUGGCUCCUGAGGGUUAAAUCCUUCAGAAGGCCUUUCUCAAUGCAGAGUAUGCCAAGUUCAGACUUGCAUACUUGGGAGUUCGAACUUGGCAGCUUCAAAACUUGGGAGUCCAAACUCUGGAGGACGGGACGACACAGUACGAUCAUUUGCAAGUGGAACGACAGUGUUCUUGACAACAGAAAACUCAACCUCAACACUCCAGACUGUACUGUGACAAAAUCAUCUCAACUCAGAGGUCCACUAACAGAAGAAAAAAUAAGCUAAUUGACAGUGAGAUGCAGUCUGUUAUUUUAUUUAGGCUGAAAUGUAGCUAUAAAAUAAAUAUGUAUAUGAAAAAAGACAAGGUCAAAACCUGGUACAUUUUUAAGAUGUUUGUUUUUAUGUAAGUUUAAGUUUAUUUAUUUGUUCAGCACUUUUCAUACAGUAGUUGUAACUCAAGGUGUUGUACACAUAAGAAAAACAUUAAAAAAUACAUUGCACCACAUUUUGGGUGGAGACUAUAUGGAGCUUUUGUAAGAAGGGUUGAGUUAAGAUUUAGGCAGUUUUAAUGCAGUAACUAU